rnacentral:rRNA from 1 species
UAGGGAAUCUUCCGCAAUGGACGAAAGUCUGACGGCGCAACGCCGCGUGAGUGAAGAAGGAUUUCGGUUCGUAAAACUCUGUUGUUAGGGAAGAAAAAAUGUAUAGUAACUAUAUACAAAAGAGACGGUACCUAACCAGAAAGCCACGGCUAACUACGUGCCAGCAGCCGCGGUAAUACGUAGGUGGCACGCGUUGUCCGGAAUUAUUGGGCGUAAAGCGCGCGCAGGUGGUUUAGAAAGUCUGAUGUGAAAGCCCACGGCUCAACCGUGGAGGGUCAUUGGAAACUAAUAAACUUGAGUGCAGGAGAGAAAAGUGGAAUUCCUAGUGUAGCGGUGAAAUGCGUAGAGAUUAGGAGGAACACCGGUGGCGAAAGCGGCUUUUUGGCCUGCAACUGACACUGAGGCGCGAAAGCGUGGGGAGCAAACAGG